AAUGUAUAGCUAAUCUGCCCUAUGCAGGAGGACAACAGUUAGAAAUGACUGCUAAUACUCCAUACUCCUUCUUAACAUAAGUUAAGUUGGGAAAGUUUUUCGGCAUAGGAUGAGGCUAUAUUGUAUCAGCUAGUUGGUGAGGUAAUGGCUCACCAAGGCUAUGACGCAUAACUGGUCUGAGAGGAUGAUCAGUCACACUGGAACUGAGACACGGUCCAGACUCCUACGGGAGGCAGCAGUAGGGAAUAUUGCUCAAUGGGGGAAACCCUGAAGCAGCAACGCCGCGUGGAGGAUGACACUUUUCGGAGCGUAAACUCCUUUUGUUAGGGAAGAACCAUGACGGUACCUAACGAAUAAGCACCGGCUAACUCCGUGCCAGCAGCCGCGGUAAUACGGGGGGUGCAAGCGUUACUCGGAAUCACUGGGCGUAAAGGACGCGUAGGCGGAUUAUCAAGUCUCUUGUGAAAUCCUAUGGCUUAACCAUAGAACUGCUUGGGAAACUGAUAAUCUAGAGUGAGGGAGAGGCAGAUGGAAUUGGUGGUGUAGGGGUAAAAUCCGUAGAGAUCACCAGGAAUACCCAUUGCGAAGGCGAUCUGCUGGAACUCAACUGACGCUAAGGCGUGAAAGCGUGGGGAGCAAACAGGAUUAGAUACCCUGGUAGUCCACGCCCUAAACGAUGUAUACUAGUUGUUGCUAAGCUAGUCUUGGCAGUAAUGCACCUAACGGAUUAAGUAUACCGCCUGGGGAGUACGGUCGCAAGAUUAAAACUCAAAGGAAU
rnacentral:rRNA from 1 species